CCCUUAGAUGUUCUGGGCCGCACGCGCGCUACACUGACGAUGGCAACGAGUUUUUCCUUCGCCGAAAGGUGUGGGUAAUCUUUUGAAACAUCGUCGUGCUGGGGAUAGAUCAUUGCGAUUUUUGAUCUUGAACGAGGAAUUCCUAGUAAGCGCGAGUCAUCAGCUCGCGUUGAUUACGUCCCUGCCCUUUGUACACACCGCCCGUCGCUACUACCGAUUGAAUGGUUUAGUGAGGACUCCUGAUUGGCGCCGCCGCCCCGGCAACGGAGCAGCGGACUGCCGAAAAGUUGUUCAAACUUGAUCAUUUAGAGGAAGUAAAAGUCGUAACA
rnacentral:rRNA from 1 species